rnacentral:rRNA from 1 species
GUCGAACGGCAGCACAGAGGAGCUUGCUCCUUGGGUGGCGAGUGGCGGACGGGUGAGGAAUACAUCGGAAUCUACUUUUUCGUGGGGGAUAACGUAGGGAAACUUACGCUAAUACCGCAUACGACCUACGGGUGAAAGCAGGGGACCUUCGGGCCUUGCGCGAUUGAAUGAGCCGAUGUCGGAUUAGCUAGUUGGCGGGGUAAAGGCCCACCAAGGCGACGAUCCGUAGCUGGUCUGAGAGGAUGAUCAGCCACACUGGAACUGAGACACGGUCCAGACUCCUACGGGAGGCAGCAGUGGGGAAUAUUGGACAAUGGGCGCAAGCCUGAUCCAGCCAUACCGCGUGGGUGAAGAAGGCCUUCGGGUUGUAAAGCCCUUUUGUUGGGAAAGAAAUCCAGCUGGCUAAUACCCGGUUGGGAUGACGGUACCCAAAGAAUAAGCACCGGCUAACUUCGUGCCAGCAGCCGCGGUAAUACGAAGGGUGCAAGCGUUACUCGGAAUUACUGGGCGUAAAGCGUGCGUAGGUGGUCGUUUAAGUCCGUUGUGAAAGCCCUGGGCUCAACCUGGGAACUGCAGUGGAUACUGGGCGACUAGAGUGUGGUAGAGGGUAGCGGAAUUCCUGGUGUAGCAGUGAAAUGCGUAGAGAUCAGAGGAACAUCCAUGGCGAAAGCAGCUACCUGGACCAACACUGACACUGAGGCACGAAAGCGGUGGGGGAGCAAACAGGAUUAGAUACCCUGGUAGUCCACCGCCCUAACGAUGCGAACUGAUGUUGGGUGCAAUUGGCCACGCAGUAUCGAAGCUACGCGUUUAAGUUCGCCGCCUGGGGGAGUACGGUCGCAGACUGAACUCAAAUGAAUUGACCGGGGGCCC